UUCUCUGUUCAAAGGACAGUGCAAUAUAAAUUCAGUAUUUGGCAUCGUUGGUUUUCUUGGCUUUGUGCAUGUUAGACCUGGUAUUUCUACUGAUACAGUA